UUAAAAAGCUCGUAGUUGGAUUUCGGUUAAGAGCGACCGGUCCGCCGUUUGGUGUGCACUGGUUGGUUUUAACUUCCUGUAGAGGACGUGCUCUGGGCUUAACGGUCUGGACUCGGAGUCUACGUGGUUACUUUGAAAAAAUUAGAGUGUUCAAAGCGGGCUUACGCUUGAAUAUUUCAGCAUGGAAUAACACUAUAGGACUCCUGUCCUAUUUCGUUGGUCUCGGGACGGGAGUAAUGAUUAAGAGGAACAGUUGGGGGCAUUCGUAUUUCAUUGUCAGAGGUGAAAUUCUUGGAUUUAUGAAAGACGAACUUCUGUGAAAGCAUUUGCCAAGGAUGUUUUCAUUAAUCAAGAACGAAAGUUGGGGGCUCGAAGAUGAUUAGAUACCAUCCUAGUCUCAACCAUAAACGAUGCCGACUAGGGAUUGGC
rnacentral:rRNA from 1 species